rnacentral:misc_RNA from 1 species
GAUGAAGAACGUAGCGAAAUGCGAUAAGUAGUGUGAAUUGCAGAAUUCAGUGAAUCAUCGAAUCUUUGAACGCACAUUGCGCCCGCCAGCAUUCUGGCGGGCAUGCCUGUUCGAGCGUCAUUUCAACCCUCGACUUCCCUUUGGGGAAAUCGGCGUUGGGGACCGGCUGUAUACCGCCGGCCCCGAAAUGAAGUGGCGGCCCGUCCGCGGCGACCUCUGCGUAGUAAUCCAACUCGCACCGGAACCCCGACGUGGCCACGCCGUAAAACCCCCGACUUCUGAACGUUGACCUCGGAUCAGGUAGGAAUACCCGCUGAACUUAAGCAUAUCAAUAAGCGGAGGA